GAAGCUGGAUUCGCUAGUAAUCGCGCAUCAGCCACGGCGCGGUGAAUACGUUCCCGGGCCUUGUACACACCGCCCGUCAAGCCAUGGAAGCCGGGGGCGCCUGAAGUCCGGGACCGCGAGGACCGGCCUAGGGCGAAACUGGUAACUGGGGCUAAGUCGUAACAAGGUAGC
rnacentral:rRNA from 1 species